rnacentral:rRNA from 1 species
UACGUAGGGGGCAAGCGUUGUCCGGAUUUAUUGGGCGUAAAGAGCGUGUAGGCGGCUAGAUAGGUCCGUUGUGAAAACUCGAGGCUCAACCUCGAGACGCCGAUGGAAACCAUCCAGCUAGAGUCCGGAAGAGGAGAGUGGAAUUCCCGGUGUAGCGGUGAAAUGCGCAGAUAUCGGGAAGAACACCCGUGGCUAAGGCGGCUCUCUAGUACGGUACUGACGCUGAGACGCGAAAGCGUGGGGAGCAAACAGG